UCCGAAUUGGUGUAGUGGCUAACAUUUGGUGCUCUCAUUGUAUGUAUAAUUUGGUAUUUUUCUGAAUAUCGAAACAAACACUCGACUGAUCCGCCAAGCCCGGGGUUCGAUUCCCCGAUUCGGAG